GACGAACGCUGGCGGCGUGCCUAAUACAUGCAAGUCGAGCGAAGUUUUUCUGGUGCUUGCACUAGAAAAACUUAGCGGCGAACGGGUGAGUAACACGUAAAGAACCUGCCUCAUAGACUGGGACAACUAUUGGAAACGAUAGCUAAUACCGGAUAACAGUAUUUCUCGCAUGAGAGAUAUUUAAAAGUUGGUUAUGCUAACACUAUGAGAUGGCUUUGCGGUGCAUUAGCUAGUUGGUGGGGUAAAGGCCCACCAGGGCGACGAUGCAUAGCCGACCUGAGAGGGUGAUCGGCCACACUGGGACUGAGACACGGCCCAGACUCCUACGGGAGGCAGCAGUAGGGAAUCUUCCGCAAUGGGCGAAAGCCUGACGGAGCAACGCCGCGUGAGUGAAGAAGGAUUUCGGUUCGUAAAGCUCUGUUGUUAGGGAAGAAUGGAUAUGUAGUAACUAUACAUGUAAGAGACGGUACCUAACCAGAAAGCCACGGCUAACUACGUG
rnacentral:rRNA from 1 species